rnacentral:RNase_P_RNA from 1 species
GAGUGUUGCCAAGGCGGCCGCGGACGACGGUUUACUGCUCGUUCGAGGAAAGUCCGGGCUCCACAGAGCACAGUGGUGGCUAACGGCCACCGGGGGCAACCCCAGGGAAAGUGCAACAGAAAGCAAACCGCCUAAGCGACUUCGGUCGCCGGUAAGGGUGAAAGGGUGCGGUAAGAGCGCACCGCGCGGCUGGUGACAGGCGUGGCAUGGUAAACCCCACUGGGAGAAAGCCCAAAUAGGGAGGAAAGGUGCUGCUCGUACCGUUUGGACCUCCGGGUAGGGCGUUCGAGGCCAGCGGCAACGUUGGUCCCAGAGAAAUGGUCGCCACUUGGUGAGCUUGCUCUUCAAGGACAGGACCCGGCUUAAAGGCAACACUCCAUU